rnacentral:tRNA from 1 species
UAGAAAAUGGUGUAGUGGAAGCACUAGGGGUUUUGAUCUCCUUAGUUUGGGUUCGAAUCCCUUUUUUCUAG